UAAAGGCCUUAAAUACUUUGUCAGCAUUCUUCACGCCUGCGCAAAGUCCAUCAAAAUAGAACAAAUAACAGGAAAUAUACAAAAUGGGUUCGUUGAAAACGCUUUAGAAAGUUGGAAGCGAAGUCAAUUGGGAGGAGAAGAAAGCCCAAUUCCACAACCUUUGACAGCACCUCAGAGCAUAAAUUAAUAGAGGAUUUUCUUCAGAAAGGGUGUGUAUGUGGAGAAGAGAGUGGAGGGAGGAAUAUAGUUUGAUGAGGUGAGGAGGAUUUACAGGAAAAUGAGUUUCAGAGCUUCUUUGAGAGUGCCUUGGAUGAGAAUGAAGUUGGUUAGUGGUGAUGGAUUCCUAUUUACUACAAAUCUUUGGAGAAGGAGAUCUACUGUAAGAGAAAUGAGGUGAAAUUUUAUAACAAGCUCCUAGAUCUUGUGCAGCAGAGGCGGGAAGGAGGCCUGGCAGACAUAAUAUCUUGCCUUAGGGUUGAUCUCAUCCAAAACCUCGGGAAUAUGUGUAAUCCACAACUUCAUACGCCCAGAUUACAGGUAGUUCUUGGACGAGGAUGCUCUUGUGACCUCAAUAUCAGAGAGUGGUUUAGCAAGGGAUAACUCCAAGAUAUUUUGAAGAAGAUUGUUGUUGUUACACUCAACAAUUAUUUCAGCUACAACAAAUGGAUUAUGGUUGCUAAAUUCUUCUGCAGCUGAUUGCAUCAACCAGGUAAUUUAUAUUUUCUGCAGAUUGCUUUCCAACUAUUUGACGAAAUGUCUACUUUCAGAUUGUUGGACAACUGUUUGGCACAGUUCUUGGUUUAAGUAUUGAAGAGAUUGAAUUGAUUAUCAUUCAAAAUUGUAAUAAAUUGAACAGAUUUACUACCAAUUAGAAAUAGCGUUGAUAUUACAAGACAUUGGAUGGCUCACCCUCAGAUCCUCUUUGAUUUGCAUAUAAUUCUGUCAUUUUGGUGUUGAUUCAGAAUCAGAUGAUAUUGUAUGCCAUUUUAACAUUAACACAUUUCCGCUUGUUAUCAACCAGUUUGGCAUUGAUUGGAAUUUGUAUGUCAUUAUCUACCAUUUUGACAUUGAUUGAUUCUACUAGUUGCUCUGGUAAAACUAUUUGUAAUCCGGAUGGCUAGCCUCCAUUAAGUUGCAUUGUUUUGUUUUAUGUCUUCAUUCUGGUCUCCAUAUGCUCUCACCUUGCCUACGUCAAGAUCUUGGUGAUCAGGAAGAGAAAGGGUUAGAGUUGAUUUGAAGAUUUGGUGAAUCAUGAGUAACACCCCUACCAGGGAUAUUACAACCUUGUUGUCUAUAUUGUUGUCUAUCUAAAUAAAUGAUACGACAAACCAAGUAUUAAUGAAUUGAAACUUGACAAAGUGAAGUCAUGAAACCAUAAGCAGAAUCAUGUCAAUUCUAGUCAACGUGUCAUUUUGUUGUCUAAAUACUGAAUUUACUUUGCUAUGUCUUCAAAGAUUAUUAUAAAUUUAUUUGAGAUGUCUAACUAAUUUUCU